rnacentral:snoRNA from 1 species
AUCCUCCAGGUUUCUUACCCACCAGCCCUAAACAGUGGUCUCAGUGACUAUAAAGGAAGAAAAGUAAAAAUGAUAGUGGCUUGGAUUCUUUUGUGACAUACAAGUGAGACAAGUUAGAGUUGA